AACGUUGGGCACUAGGUGUGGGGGACAUUCCACGUUCUCCGCGCCGUAGCUAACGCAUUAAGUGCCCCGCCUGGGGAGUACGGUCGCAAGGCUAAAACUCAAAGGAAUUGACGGGGGCCCGCACAAGCGGCGGAGCAUGCGGAUUAAUUCGAUGCAACGCGAAGAACCUUACCAAGGCUUGACAUACACUGGACCGUUCUGGAAACAGUUCUUCUCUUUGGAGCUGGUGUACAGGUGGUGCAUGGUUGUCGUCAGCUCGUGUCGUGAGAUGUUGGGUUAAGUCCCGCAACGAGCGCAACCCUCGUUCUAUGUUGCCAGCACGUGAUGGUGGGAACUCAUAGGAGACUGCCGGGGUCAACUCGGAGGAAGGUGGGGAUGACGUCAAAUCAUCAUGCCCUUUAUGUCUUGGGCUUCACGCAUGCUACAAUGGCUGGUACAGAGAGAGGCGAACCCGUGAGGGUAAGCGAAUCCCUUAAAGCCAGUCUCAGUUCGGAUCGUAGUCUGCAAUUCGACUACGUGAAGUCGGAGUCGCUAGUAGUCGCAGAUCAGCAACGCUGCGG
rnacentral:rRNA from 1 species